CCUACGGGGUGCAGCAGUGGGGAAUAUUGGACAAUGGGCGAAAGCCUGAUCCAGCCAUGCCGCGUGUGUGAAGAAGGCCUUCGGGUUGUAAAGCACUUUCAGUGGGGAAGAAAGCCUUGGGGCUAAUACCCUCGAGGAAGGACAUCACCCACAGAAGAAGCACCGGCUAACUCCGUGCCAGCAGCCGCGGUAAUACGGAGGGUGCGAGCGUUAAUCGGAAUUACUGGGCGUAAAGCGCGCGUAGGCGGUCUGAUAAGCCGGUUGGGAAAGCCCCGGGCUCAACCUGGGAACGGCAUCCGGAACUGUCAGGCUAGAGUGCAGGAGAGGAAGGUAGAAUUCCCGGUGUAGCGGUGAAAUGCGUAGAGAUCGGGAGGAAUACCAGUGGCGAAGGCGGCCUUCUGGACUGACACUGACGCUGAGGUGCGAAAGCGUGGGUAGCAAACAGGAUUAGAUACCCUAGUAGUC
rnacentral:rRNA from 1 species